rnacentral:rRNA from 1 species
CUUCAACGGAGAGUUUGAUCCUGGCUCAGGACGAACGCUGGCGGCGUGCUUAACACAUGCAAGUCGAGCGGUAAGGCCC